UAAGCCGGGUUCUGUCAAGGACAGUCAUUCCUCUAGGCGUGCAGUCACCCGCACGCUCAAGCAACCUACCCGCAGGCUCAGCGAGCAGCAUCAUCGCCUGCCUAUUUGGUCUUGCUCCGGAUGGAGGUUACCGCGUUUCACCGUAACUUAAUACGCUCGUCUCUGUGGCCCUGUUCCUCACCUUACGGCGGCCGGCCGUUAACCGGCAUCCUGCUCUGCGGAGCCCGGACUUUCCUC
rnacentral:RNase_P_RNA from 1 species